UUAAGCGACUAAGCGUACACGGUGGAUGCCCUGGCAGUCAGAGGCGAUGAAGGACGUGCUAAUCUGCGAUAAGCGCCGGUAAGGUGAUAUGAACCGUUAUAACCGGCGAUUUCCGAAUGGGGAAACCCAGUGUGACUCGUCACACUAUCAUUAACUGAAUCCAUAGGUUAAUGAGGCGAACCGGGGGAACUGAAACAUCUAAGUACCCCGAGGAAAAGAAAUCAACCGAGAUUCCCCCAGUAGCGGCGAGCGAACGGGGAGGAGCCCAGAGCCUGAAUCAGCAUGUGUGUUAGUGGAAGCGUCUGGAAAGGCGCGCGAUACAGGGUGACAGCCCCGUACACAAAAGCGCAUGUGCUGUGAGCUCGAUGAGUAGGGCGGGACACGUGGUAUCCUGUCUGAAUAUGGGGGGACCAUCCUCCAAGGCUAAAUACUCCUGACUGACCGAUAGUGAACCAGUACCGUGAGGGAAAGGCGAAAAGAACCCCGGCGAGGGGAGUGAAAAAGAACCUGAAACCGUGUACGUACAAGCAGUGGGAGCCCCACCACUAAGCCAGUGGUGAACUCCACAUACGCAUCCUUUGCUGAGGAUACGGUUAACGGAGCGAAAGCGACGUUCAACCGCAAAAGAAGCAGAGGGGGCUUAGUGGUGGGGUGACUGCGUACCUUUUGUAUAAUGGGUCAGCGACUUAUAUUCUGUAGCAAGGUUAACCGAAUAGGGGAGCCGGAGGGAAACCGAGUCUUAACCGGGCGUUAAGUUGCAGGGUAUAGACCCGAAACCCGGUGAUCUAGCCAUGGGCAGGUUGAAGGUUGGGUAACACUAACUGGAGGACCGAACCGACUAAUGUUGAAAAAUUAGCGGAUGACCUGUGGCUGGGGGUGAAAGGCCAAUCAAACCGGGAGAUAGCUGGUUCUCCCCGAAAGCUAUUUAGGUAGCGCCUCGUGAAUUCAUCUCCGGGGGUAGAGCACUGUUUCGGCUAGGGGGCCAUCCCGGCUUACCAACCCGAUGCAAACUGCGAAUACCGGAGAAUGUUAUCACGGGAGACACACGGCGGGUGCUAACGUCCGUCGUGAAGAGGGAAACAACCCAGACCGCCAGCUAAGGUCCCAAAGUCAUGGUUAAGUGGGAAACGAUGUGGGAAGGCCCAGACAGCCAGGAUGUUGGCUUAGAAGCAGCCAUCAUUUAAAGAAAGCGUAAUAGCUCACUGGUCGAGUCGGCCUGCGCGGAAGAUGUAACGGGGCUAAACCAUGCACCGAAGCUGCGGCAGCGAACGUAUCACUUAAAGCGAUUCAGCGGGUUACGAUUGACGGAGCGAAGCGACGUCAAAGCGUAUACAAAGUCGAGUCGGUUUAAGGAUACGUUCGUUGGGUAGGGGAGCGUUCUGUAAGCCUGUGAAGGUGGCCUGUGAGGGUUGCUGGAGGUAUCAGAAGUGCGAAUGCUGACAUAAGUAACGAUAAAGCGGGUGAAAAGCCCGCUCGCCGGAAGACCAAGGGUUCCUGUCCAACGUUAAUCGGGGCAGGGUGAGUCGACCCCUAAGGCGAGGCCGAAAGGCGUAGUCGAUGGGAAACGGGUUAAUAUUCCCGUACUUGGUGUUACUGCGAAGGGGGGACGGAGAAGGCUAUGUUGGCCGGGCGACGGUUGUCCCGGUUUAAGCGUGUAGGUGUGUGUUCCAGGUAAAUCCGGUUCACUUUAACACUGAGGCGUGACGACGAGGCACUACGGUGCUGAAGCAACAAAUGCCCUGCUUCCAGGAAAAGCCUCUAAGCAUCAGGUAACAUCAAAUCGUACCCCAAACCGACACAGGUGGUCAGGUAGAGAAUACCAAGGCGCUUGAGAGAACUCGGGUGAAGGAACUAGGCAAAAUGGUGCCGUAACUUCGGGAGAAGGCACGCUGACACGUAGGUGAAGUGAUUUACUCACGGAGCUGAAGUCAGUCGAAGAUACCAGCUGGCUGCAACUGUUUAUUAAAAACACAGCACUGUGCAAACACGAAAGUGGACGUAUACGGUGUGACGCCUGCCCGGUGCCGGAAGGUUAAUUGAUGGGGUCAGCGCAAGCGAAGCUCCUGAUCGAAGCCCCGGUAAACGGCGGCCGUAACUAUAACGGUCCUAAGGUAGCGAAAUUCCUUGUCGGGUAAGUUCCGACCUGCACGAAUGGCGUAAUGAUGGCCAGGCUGUCUCCACCCGAGACUCAGUGAAAUUGAACUCGCUGUGAAGAUGCAGUGUACCCGCGGCAAGACGGAAAGACCCCGUGAACCUUUACUAUAGCUUGACACUGAACAUUGAGCCUUGAUGUGUAGGAUAGGUGGGAGGCUUUGAAGUGUGGACGCCAGUCUGCAUGGAGCCGGCCUUGAAAUACCACCCUUUAAUGUUUGAUGUUCUAACGUGGACCCGUGAUCCGGGUUGCGGACAGUGUCUGGUGGGUAGUUUGACUGGGGCGGUCUCCUCCUAAAGAGUAACGGAGGAGCACGAAGGUUGGCUAAUCCUGGUCGGACAUCAGGAGGUUAGUGCAAUGGCAUAAGCCAGCUUGACUGCGAGCGUGACGGCGCGAGCAGGUGCGAAAGCAGGUCAUAGUGAUCCGGUGGUUCUGAAUGGAAGGGCCAUCGCUCAACGGAUAAAAGGUACUCCGGGGAUAACAGGCUGAUACCGCCCAAGAGUUCAUAUCGACGGCGGUGUUUGGCACCUCGAUGUCGGCUCAUCACAUCCUGGGGCUGAAGUAGGUCCCAAGGGUAUGGCUGUUCGCCAUUUAAAGUGGUACGCGAGCUGGGUUUAGAACGUCGUGAGACAGUUCGGUCCCUAUCUGCCGUGGGCGCUGGAGAACUGAGGGGGGCUGCUCCUAGUACGAGAGGACCGGAGUGGACGCAUCACUGGUGUUCGGGUUGUCAUGCCAAUGGCACUGCCCGGUAGCUAAAUGCGGAAGAGAUAAGUGCUGAAAGCAUCUAAGCACGAAACUUGCCCCGAGAUGAGUUCUCCCUGAGACUUUAGGUCUCCUGAAGGAACGUUGAAGACGACAACGUUGAUAGGCCGGGUGUGUAAGCGCAGCGAUGCGUUGAGCUAACCGGUACUAAUGAACCGUGAGGCUUAACCUU
rnacentral:rRNA from 2 species